UGCCAGCCGCCGCGGUAAUACGAAGGGUGCAAGCGUUGUUCGGAUUUAUUGGGCGUAAAGCGCGCGCAGGCGGACUGGUAAGUCAGAUGUGAAAUCUCGGGGCUCAACCCCGAAACUGCGUCUGAAACUGCUAGUCUAGAAUCUCGGAGAGGAAAGGGGAAUUUCGCAUGUAGGGGUAAAAUCCGUAGAGAUGCGAAGGAACACCAGGGGCGAAGGCGGCUUUCUGGACCGAUACUGACGCUGAGACGCGAAAGCGUGGGGAGCAAACAGGAUUAGAUA
rnacentral:rRNA from 1 species